rnacentral:lncRNA from 1 species
UAGGAGGUACUCUACAUAAAAGGUCGUUAGAAACUAUUCCCAAGUGACUUGAAAGUGCAGGGUGGUCUACUUGAGUUGCCACCAGUGGUCUGCUUCUCCCAUUAAUAUGUAGGUAGUAAGGAUGACUUUCUGUUUGGGAAUCACCCCGAAGGUCUUGAAGACCUUCUCUAUCUCAGCUAACCAGAACUCGACCUCUUCAAAGGAGAAUCCCCCUGCAAAAGUAGAUAGAUUUAGUCUUUUAUACUUUUCUAUGUAGUCUGGGUCCAUCAUGAGAGGAGUUAGCUCCCGUGGAUGAGGAACUAGAGUGUGCAGAGGAUGGACUGGAUGACCCUGCAGUGGUACUUAAUGAUACGGUGGAGGCACCGAAUUGUACUGUGGUGUUGUCGGGCGAUGCGGUGGCUGGGACACCGGAUCAUAUUGUGGUGGUGCCAGAUGGUACUUUAGAGGAGCAUGAUCAUAUCGGGGUAGCUCGGGAUCCUCCCGUUGCAGGGGUGGCUCAACCUGUGGCAGCGAGGGAGGGUUAGGUAGCUCCCUCCUUUUUUCUCGGGCCUGUUGGGCAGCAAUGAGUCUCUCUACCAUCUCAAAUAAUUGGUCAACAUCCUCUCUAAGCGAACCCUCCCAGGCUCCUCGAUUUAGUGGGGGUUUUCCUUUCCUCAUCUAU